AGUCGAACGAGAAUCUGUGGAUCGAGGAUUCGUCCAAGUGAAGCAGAGGACAGUGGCGGACGGGUGAGUAACGCGUGAGGAACCUGCCUUUCAGAGGGGGACAACAGUUGGAAACGACUGCUAAUACCGCAUGAUACAUUUGGGUGGCAUCAUCUGAAUGUCAAAGAUUUAUCGCUGAAAGAUGGCCUCGCGUCUGAUUAGCUGGUUGGUGAGGUAACGGCCCACCAAGGCGACGAUCAGUAGCCGGACUGAGAGGUUGACCGGCCACAUUGGGACUGAGAUACGGCCCAGACUCCUACGGGAGGCAGCAGUGGGGAAUAUUGGGCAAUGGGCGCAAGCCUGACCCAGCAACGCCGCGUGAAGGAAGAAGGCUUUCGGGUUGUAAACUUCUUUUAAUGGGGAAGAGCAGAAGACUGUACCCAUAGAAUAAGCCACGGCUAACUACGUGCCAGCAGCCGCGGUAAUACGUAGGUGGCAAGCGUUGUCCGGAUUUACUGGGUGUAAAGGGCGUGCAGCCGGGAAUGCAAGUCAGAUGUGAAAUCCAUGGGCUUAACCCAUGAACUGCAUUUGAAACUGUAUUUCUUGAGUACUGGAGAGGCAAUCGGAAUUCCUAGUGUAGCGGUGAAAUGCGUAGAUAUUAGGAGGAACACCAGUGGCGAAGGCGGAUUGCUGGACAGCAACUGACGGUGAGGCGCGAAAGUGUGGGGAGCAAACAGGAUUAGAUACCCUGGUAGUCCACACUGUAAACGAUGAAUACUAGGUGUGCGGGGACUGACCCCCUGCGUGCCGCAGUUAACACAAUAAGUAUUCCACCUGGGGAGUACGAUCGCAAGGUUG
rnacentral:rRNA from 1 species